UACGUAGGGUGCAAGCGUUAAUCGGAAUUACUGGGCGUAAAGCGUGCGCAGGCGGUUUUGUAAGUCUGACGUGAAAUCCCCGGGCUCAACCUGGGAAUUGCGAUGAAGACUGCAAGGCUAGAAUCUGGCAGAGGGGGGUAGAAUUCCACGUGUAGCAGUGAAAUGCGUAGAGAUGUGGAGGAACACCGAUGGCGAAGGAAGCCCCCUGGGUCAAGAUUGACGCUCAUGCACGAAA
rnacentral:rRNA from 1 species